rnacentral:rRNA from 1 species
AUGUAAAUUUUAAAACUGUAGGUAGUAAUAGUUAUGUUCUUGAAACUUAAAAAAUUUGGCGGUAUUUUAGUCUAUUCAGAGGAACCUGUUUUAUAAUCGAUAAUCCACGAUGGACCUUACUUAAGUUUGUAAUCAGUUUAUAUAUCGUCGUUAUUAGAAUAUUUUAUAAGAAAGUUAAUUUUCAUAAUUUUGUAAAAGAAAAUAUAUCAGAUCAAGGUGUAGCUUAUAUUUAAGUAAAAAUGGGUUACAAUAAAAUUAUUUAUAUGAAUAUAAAUUUGAAAUAUUUAUUGAAGGUGGAUUUGAUAGUAAAAUUAUAAAGAUUAAUAAUUUGAUUUUAGCUCUAAAAUAUGU